UACGUAGGGGGCGAGCGUUGUCCGGAUUUAUUGGGCGUAAAGAGCGCGCAGGCGGCUGGUCAAGUCCGAUGUGAAAUCUCCCGGCUCAACUGGGAAACUGCAUCGGAAACUGAUCGGCUUGAAGAUGGGAGAGGGUAGUGGAAUUCCCGGUGUAGUGGUGAAAUGCGUAGAUAUCGGGAGGAACACCAGUGGCGAAGGCGACUACCUGGCCCAUUCUUGACGCUGAGGCGCGAAAGCUAGGGGAGCGAACGGG
rnacentral:rRNA from 1 species